AACGAACGCUGGCGGCAGGCUUAACACAUGCAAGUCGAGCGCCCCGCAAGGGGAGCGGCAGACGGGUGAGUAACGCGUGGGAAUCUACCCAUCUCUACGGAACAACUCUGGGAAACUGGAGCUAAUACCGUAUACGUCCUUCGGGAGAAAGAUUUAUCGGAGAUGGAUGAGCCCGCGUUGGAUUAGCUAGUUGGUGGGGUAAUGGCCUACCAAGGCGACGAUCCAUAGCUGGUCUGAGAGGAUGAUCAGCCACACUGGGACUGAGACACGGCCCAGACUCCUACGGGAGGCAGCAGUGGGGAAUAUUGGACAAUGGGCGAAAUCCUGAUCCAGCCAUGCCGCGUGAGUGAUGAAGGCCCUAGGGUUGUAAAGCUCUUUCACCGGUGAAGAUAAUGACGGUAACCGGAGAAGAAGCCCCGGCUAACUUCGUGCCAGCCGCCGCCGUAA
rnacentral:rRNA from 1 species